rnacentral:rRNA from 1 species
UACGGGGGGGGCAAGCGUUGUUCGGAAUUACUGGGCGUAAAGGGCUCGUAGGCGGCCAACUAAGUCGGAUGUGAAAUCCCCAGGCUCAACCUGGGAACUGCAUCCGAUACUGGAUGGCUUGAAUUCGGGAGAGGGAUGCAGAAUUCCAGGUGUAGCGGUGAAAUGCGUAGAUAUCUGGAGGAAUACCGGUGGCGAAGGCGGCAUCCUGGACCGACAUUGACGCUGAGGAGCGAAAGCUAGGGAAGCAAACGGG